AUUAUUAACGUCUACACCUAAGAAUGAGACAUUACAGAGAAAUGUUAUAUACAAAUCUUGCAUCAUAGAAAUAACAAAUAGGGAACUAAGCAUAGAUCUAAUAGCACUAGAUAUGGGGGAUUUUGACGUAAUUCUAAGGAUGAACUAGUUAGUGGCUUAUCUUCCUCACGAAUGUAACUUUAUUUGACACAACAUAUCACUUUCGGGUGCUAGAGUUAUAUUCGCGAGGAAGAACGAUGGGAC
rnacentral:lncRNA from 1 species